CUCGACGGCUGGACUCGAACUGUGAACGUAGAAUAACCCCCCUGUAUAUGCAGCUAGUGUUCAUGUUUAUUUGCUGUCCAGUGCAUGUUUGCAAUAUAUAUGUUGAUGUAAGCAUCAUUGGUAACUUGUAGAUGGUCAUGAAGAUGAACAAAAGAAAAAAGAUGGUUAGGGGAGCUGCUGUUUUUGUUGCACUAGCUGCAAUGGCAGUAAUUGUUUGGGCUAUAGUAAGGAAGAGAAGACCACAUAUUACCUAUGGCCCAAUGCAUGAAAGAGAUCAAAUCAGAUACGAUUAUCUAAACCAAA
rnacentral:lncRNA from 1 species